UUUUCUGCCCAACUCCGCUUUACGCUCUUGGACAACUUCAGACUUCAUAGCCACAAAUACUUCCAUAGAAUUAUCCAUAACCAAGAACUUCCACCAAUGGUUCAACCUCUGCCGCGAGAGAAGAAGCACUGAGCCGUACAAAUCACUACUAAGGGAGACUUGGAAAAGGUUUGUGGGAGACUCAAUGAUGCUGACCGAGUUGGGUGUGCGAUUGAAAGAACAAUGGAAGCUACAGCAACGACCCACCUGCGAGUUCCUUCAAUUGAACAAUAAGAUCUGUGCAAUUCAGGCACCGCAAUCUACUGAAAUUUGUUGGGUUUGAUCAAGCACAAGGAGAAGACCACCAAUUUCUGCUUGAUUAGAACAAUGUGUCUAAUACGUGGAGAUGUUCUUCCUACACAGUAUAUACAUGGUCUUGCAGUAUCUAAAAUGUCCAUUUAGCACAUGGUUUUCUUCCUUCUUCCAGAUUGUGGCAAUUUAUAUUAGAUUUUCUUUUUGUUUAUGGGUGAUGUACAGUACUUCUUAUUGUUGAAUUGUUUUCUUGGUUUUAAUCCUUAUUUGAAAGUAGGAGCAUAGACAAGAAGAGCUAAGAUUCACUUAAUUUCCCAUCAUUUUUUCAUGGAAAAUGAAAUGCUGCAUCAUAAAGCAAACCUUAAUGGAUAUCUCGCCUACCACCCCAGUCAAAAUCUUGACAGGACCAAUCAGGAUACUGACCGAGAUUUCUUCAUGAGUGCAAAAGAAGCCAAAGAAUAUGGGCUUAUAGAUGGUAUCAUUAUGAAUCCUCUCAAAGCUCUUCAGCCACUGGCAGCUAUGGCAGAGGCCGAGACUAAAGUUGAGUCUGGUGUAUAAAUUUCUCUUGGGUGACUGCUGUAGUGAAGGACAUGGCUUUAUAGAAGAGUUAAAUGAAGAAUGAUAUUUUCGGUGUGCCUAAGUUCAUAUUAGUUCAUGAUGCUGAUUUUCUUUAUGGCAGAGAAUUAAGAACCUUGAAUUUUGCUGUUGUUUACUCCUAAUUUCCAAAUGAUCAGUGUUGGUUGCAUAUCAUUCCUCUCUUUAUUUGAUCUGGGCGAAUUUGAGUAUUAGGUAUGGCCGUGUUUAAAAUUAUGGGGAUAUCUUCUUAAGAGAUUCUUCUUGUCAAGCUCUAUUUUUAUAUCUUUGGUUCUUCUUGAAAUAGGUUGAGCUCUGCAAUGAUGACGAGUUUCUUGUUCUAGCUUAUGAUGGGAUGGUUAGUUGGAUUUUCACUUAAUAAUGUGUUUUUUCUCUCCAAUUUGUGAAAUUUACUCUGAAUGCUUUAGGGAUAAUAUUCGAAUCUGUAUUUGUUAAGUGGCAGUCUGGAUUCAAAACUCUGUGAAUUUGGUGAAAGUGUAGAUGGUCUUAUGUGUAUGAUGAUAAACUAGGCUAUAGGUGUUUGCCACUGCUUUAUUGGUUUUGUUGGUGCCAACAAGUCCUAAGGACAC